UGGUGGUGGGGGAAGGAUUCGAACCUUCGAAGUCGAUGACGGCAGAUUUACAGUCUGCUCCCUUUGGCCGCUCGGGAACCCCACC
rnacentral:tRNA from 6 species